CUGUAUUAAUUAUAUAUAUACUUUUAUUGCACCUUUGUUAACCAUGUUGUUCUAAUGUAAAUAUGUUCACACUUUUUUUGUUUGUUAAAAAAUGUUGUACUAACAUACCCCAUGUGGGGGCUUUAGUGAAAUAUAUGUCUUAUGCGACGUCAAACUAUGACUUAUCGGGAAAAGAUGCAUUUUCGACGGAUUUUUAUCAUUCAAACUGAUUUAACUUGAAAACAAGAUCAUGGACCCCUCUUUUUUAAAAUGAUAUUUGGUUUGAUUACGCGAAAAGAUUAUGUGUGACAAUUUAUAUGAAAACGUAUAUAGUUUAGUUUUUUUUUAAAUUUGAUAAAUAUACAGCA
rnacentral:lncRNA from 1 species